UUGUUGGAGAGUUUNAUCCUGGCUCAGGACGAACGCUGGCGGCGUGCUUAACACAUGCAAGUCGAGCGGUAAGNNUGGGUAACCUNCCCUUAGCUUUGGGAUAACCCCGGGAAACUNGGUCUAAUACCGGAUAUGACCUUCCAUUGCAUNGUNGUUGGUGGAAAGUUUUUUCGGCUGGGGAUGGCUNGCGGCCUAUCAGCUNGUUGGUGGGGUNAUGGCCUACCAAGGCGACGACGGGUAGCCGGCCUGAGAGGGUGACCGGCCACACUGGGACUGAGACACGGCCNAGACUCCUACGGGAGGCAGCAGUGGGGAAUAUUGCGCAAUGGGCGAAAGCCUNACGCAGCGACGCCGCGUGGGGGAUGACGGCCUUCGGGUUGUAAACCUCUUUCGACCUUGACGAAGGCUUCGGGUUGACGGUAGGNNNAGAAGAAGCACCGGCCAACUACGUGCCAGCAGCCGCGGUAAUACGUAGGGUGCGAGCGUUGUCCGGAAUUAUUGGGCGUAAAGAGCUCGUAGGCGGUCUGUCGCGUCGGUCGUGAAAACUUGGGGCUNAACCCUGAGCUUGCGGUCGAUACGGGCAUGACUUGAGUUCGGCAGGGGAGACUGGAAUUCCUNGUGUAGCGGUGAAAUGCGCAGAUAUCAGGAGGAACACCGGUNGCGAAGGCGGGNCUCUNGGCCGAUACUGACGCUGAGGAGCGAAAGCGUGGGGAGCGAACAGGAUUAGAUACCCUGGUAGUCCACGCCGUAAACGGUGGGCGCUAGGUGUGGGGGCAUUCCACGGUCUCUGUGCCGCAGCUAACGCAUUAAGCGCCCNGCCUGGGGAGUACGGCCGCAAGGCUAAAACUCAAAGGAAUUGACGGGGGCCNGCACAAGCGGCGGAGCAUGUGGAUUAAUUCGAUGCAACGCGAAGAACCUUACCUGGGUUUGACAUGCACCAGACAUCCCUAGAGAUAGGGCUUCCCUNGUNGUGUGUGCAGGUGGNGCAUGGCUGUCGUCAGCUCGUGUCGUGAGAUGUUGGGUUAAGUCCCGCAACGAGCGCAACCCUNGUUCCAUGUUGCCAGCGGGUUAUGCCGGGNACUCAUGGGAGACUGCCGGGGUUAACUCGGAGGAAGGUGGGGAUGACGUCAAGUCAUCAUGCCCCUUAUGUCCAGGGCUUCACACAUGCUACAAUGGCCAGUACAGAGGGCUGCGAGACCGUGAGGUNGAGCGAAUCCCUAAAAGCUAGUCUCAGUUCGGAUUGGGGUCUGCAACUCGACCCCAUGAAGUAGGAGUCGCUAGUAAUCGCAGAUCAGCAACGCUGCGGUGAAUACGUUCCCGGGCCUUGUACACACCGCCCGUCAAGUCACGAAAGUUGGUAACACCCGAAGCCGACGGCCUAACCCCGUGGACGGAGUNGUCGAAGGUGGACUGGCGACC
rnacentral:rRNA from 1 species